UACGUAGGGUGCAAGCGUUCAUCGGAAUUACUGGGCGUAAAGCGUGCGCAGGCGGCUUUGCAAGACAGAUGUGAAAUCCCCGGGCUUAACCUGGGAACUGCAUUUGUGACUGCAAGGCUGGAGUGCGGCAGAGGGGGAUGGAAUUCCGCGUGUAGCAGUGAAAUGCGUAGAUAUGCGGAGGAACACCGAUGGCGAAGGCAAUCCCCUGGGCCUGCACUGACGCUCAUGCACGAAAGCGUGGGGAGCAAACAGG
rnacentral:rRNA from 1 species